CUUACCUGUUGUCAUACAGGAAGGAUAAUAAGAUAAUAUGAUAUAUUUUUAUGGUGUUGAAUGUGUUGAAGCCUGCUAGCCGAAGACAGUCAAGAGGUUUCUCGUGAGUUUCUCUCUCUCGGAGUGAUCCAACAUCUUCUCUACGCUAUAGGCAACAGAGAACACACUGAUUCCCAAAUACAAGCCAGUCUGGCCUUGAAGCACUUUGUCCUCUCAUACCCAGUUAUUGAGGGACAUGUGCAGAGAGGCAUCGGCAGCACACUGUUUGCAGCCUUUAUGCACCAAGCUGACUCUUUGUACAUGAAUAUGGAUGAAACACAAGCAGAACUCCUGCUAACUAACAAGGUUAACAUAACUGAAGUGUUGGAUGGUGACCAACCACUGUGACUAACUCUGAAGGCUGAUAUGAGGGUCAAAUCAAUUUAAUAAUAGAGAUGAAUAAACUAGAACAUGUGUGUAUAUACUGCUUUUACGUCAUUAAAAGACUUACAGAAGUU